rnacentral:rRNA from 1 species
GUGGGGAAUAUUGCACAAUGGGCGAAAGCCUGAUGCAGCAACGCCGCGUGAGGGACGACGGCCUUCGGGUUGUAAACCUCUUUUAGCAGGGAAGAAGCGAAAGUGACGGUACCUGCAGAAAAAGCGCCGGCUAACUACGUGCCAGCAGCCGCGGUAAUACGUAGGGCGCAAGCGUUAUCCGGAAUUAUUGGGCGUAAAGAGCUCGUAGGCGGUUUGUCGCGUCUGCUGUGAAAACUGGAGGCUCAACCUCCAGCCUGCAGUGGGUACGGGCAGACUAGAGUGCGGUAGGGGAGAUUGGAAUUCCUGGUGUAGCGGUGGAAUGCGCAGAUAUCAGGAGGAACACCGAUGGCGAAGGCAGAUCUCUGGGCCGUAACUGACGCUGAGGAGCGAAAGCGUGGGGAGCGAACAGGAUUAGAUACCCCUGUAGUCC